rnacentral:pre_miRNA from 1 species
UUAACUCAAAACUCUAUGGAGUUGGAACGUUUACCUACGUUUGCCGCUAGGCGAACUGUUUCAAAUGCAUAGAAAUUAGAGUUA